CUGAGAUUUGAGAUUGGCCGAUACGUGAACACUUGUCUUUUCGAGAGGAUCAUGUGGCUUCGCCUCCGUCCUCCUCUCCCCUUCCACCCUCCGGAAUCCAAUCGCAAUCCUUCGGAUUGGGGUUAGGGUUCCGAGAACCCGCGGUUCGUCGUCUUCUUCUCGCCACGCAUCCGGCCGGAAGGUCCUCCGCGAGGUAAGCCGCUUCCCGGUGGUAGAUGGCGUACCUCGACGGGCAGAAAUCUGUGAGGUUCUCCCUUGACCCGACCAAGGAGCUCAUUCUCAUCGAUCUUGUUUCAUGGAACCCUUCACUUAUCUUUGAUCAGUAUGAAGAUGUUGUGAACUAGCUGGGACAUGCAUUAGGAUGAAAUUGGCAAAGCAAAGUGCAUCUGAAUUGUUAACUAUAUAAAGAUAAUUCCACUGGAAACUUGGAACUGUUGAACAAGCAAAGUUACUUACGCUAGAUAAUCUGUACAUCUUUGUUUCCAAAAUGUUACUUCCCGACUUGAUUCAUCCAAAAUCCUUCCAGCUUCAUUUGGAUAUUACUCUGGUCAAGGCAAUCAAGGAUUUUUUGUGCCGGUAUCAUGUCUGUUAUGCGCCUGUUAGCCUUAUGUCAACAUGGGAUGGAGAUUACCAUGACAUAUUGGUAUUUCUGCCAUAUGUGCUGUCCUUGUGGCAGGCACAUGUAAAUUUAUGUGCAUGAUAGUUGAUACUGUAUGCAGGCACUGCAUGCAGCACCUGCCCUUUCCCGGUGAUGAUAACCUACCCACUUGUAUGGGUGGGACAGAGGACCACUGCAGGUAAAUGCAAUGUUUUUGACUAAUUAACAACAAGCAUCAGCAUAGGUUAAUCUUCCCUUGAAUUGCUUACUUUGGUUUGGUUGGCAAUUCUUUGUUCAUUAGAAAGCGAUAUAGAUACAUGUUCCUCUAAUCUUAUGAAUGGAUCAUCUAUGUGCUUGUAUUUAUAACAUUUACAUAUAUUCUUCUAUCAAACAAAAUAUUUGAAUCAAACAUUGACACCAACUUUCUAAUCUCAAUCUUUUGGGAUAUUAGAACUUGAAUAUCUUUAAUUUUUAUUAAUGUGUAACUCAUGCCACUGGGUGACAUAAUAGUUUACUUUGUCAAUUUUAUGGCAUUAAACACUUCAAUCGCUUGUUAUGUAUGCAUUUCUGAGUUUUUCUUUCAUAUUAUCCUUGCAUCUGUAUUUGUCAUAGCUAAGCUAUAUCUUCUUUUUUCUCUUUCAUCUACUUUUUGUCAUUCUGUCUCUCAGGUGGAUAGAAGAGGAAUACCUCUUGCUUGCCACUAUUUUACUGUAUGAACAUGUUUGUUGACAUUGAACCAGGUCCUUUUCAUCUUGGUUUGCUUAAUGACUACAGAAAGGUCUGUGCUUACACAUAACAUCUCAGAUCUCUUUUUCUUGCUCUUUAUCUUGGUUUAAUCUGUGUUAGUUGUGUGCAUAACUUCUGAUUGUUCUUUAAGAGUUUUUACCCAAUUUGAGCUAUCAUCCAUUGGCAAGGAUGGGGACAUACAUGGAUGAAUGAUAAGGUGCAUCAAUACCAUUUAGUUUAGAUGAGUCACAUAGUCCUCUGUGCUUCAAGGUAAGAUAGGUCAUGGUAGUCAUGGCAACAGAACAGUAUUGUGAUUUAGCUGACAGGUCUGGAGAUUGGCUUUGUGUUUGAAUUCAUGACGCAAGAUAUUAGAUACUGAUCUCAGUAGGUUAGCUCUAGCAGAUUGUAUCUUGUAUGAUGAAUAUAAUCUGCUAGAGCUAACCUACUGAGAUCAGCAUCUAACAUCUUACAAUAUGUGAUUGCCUAUCUAAUGAAAAUGUGCAUAACUAAGAGGUUUGUCAUAGUGUUCUUUUGCUUUGGCAAUCUCUGUAACAAUGCUUGUUUCCUUAAAGGACAUUUGGAGGGCAUCAUCUGGUUGGCAAUCUUAUUUCUCUUGUGCAAAUAAACCAGCUUUCAUGCAUGCCCAUAAUUCUGCACCAUUCAGCGCUUUUUUUUGUUUUUGCAUCAUAUUUUAUGAUUCAAAAUUGCAGGUUCGUUUUUUCUUGCAGAUGGAUGAUCAACUUCUAGACACUAUAUGUGAGGUUUUUGUAUCCUCUUUAAGCACAGAAGACGCCUGUAUUGUUCGAGAGGGUGACCCUGACACAAAUGCUUUUCAUCAACAUAUGACAGACUGAAGAGCUCUACUGCUAGUAGAGGUGGACCUGGUUUCUUCAAUUCUGUGAUACACAGGCCUAGUGAUUCCUGUGGUAAGGAACUUCUUGAUUGGGCUCUUCUUCCAAAGGCCAUGGUGAACUCGCCUUCCUCUAAGAAUUGUAAGAACACUGGCUAAAGUUGAGGCCUUUGGAAAAGCUGAAAGCUGCAGCACUUUCCAUUUCUACUCUCAUCACUGGAGGACAUGGGCUGCCUGCUUCAUUCAGGCAGCUUGGCAUCGCUACAGGAGGAGAAAGAUGGCAAAGGAUUUGAGUCGGAGGGAAUCAUUUAACUCCCGGACGGAUGCGUCGAUGCUGAAAGGAGAUGAAGUCAACAUAAUUCCACGAGUACUUCUCACCCAAAACAAAAUCUUGUGUUCAGAGUUCUAGCUAGGUUAGCCUCACUUCUCCGUGGACACUUGUGAUUGGUUAUCAUUGAACCUGUUAUGAGGACACCUGCUUGCUUCUCACCAGAUUACAGUUGAAAGAGAAAUUCAGAUGAGCAAGGGUUUGUACUUGAUAAAAUAUGAUGUUGAGGAUGUAAAUCUUCAUCCAAACAAAUCUAUACGCAUGGCUACUCUGAUAAUGUGGUAUCAUCUUAACUGAGUACAAGUUAAGAUAGUUUCUAAACAGAAUGGCAUGCCUGCUGUACAAUCUAGAUGUAUUUAUCAGUGUAAUCUUGUUUAGGAUGAAAUCGUCACCAUAUUGUGUUUUCAGUAA